AGCAUCAACCAAACUUAUCCUCAAAAAUCAGUUUUCCAGACUUGAUAUUCCAUAGACGAAAUUUGCAGUCUUCUCCACCUAAAACCAGAAUAUAUUUGGUGCAAGCUCAUGUUACCAGGAACUCCGAGAUUUCUGAAUAUAAAGAAAUUGAGCAUGCACUGAAAUGAACUACCAGAUGUGACAAACGUCUCGGUGGGAUCAACUCCAAGCUGUACACGAGCAUAAAUGAAACUGUGUUUGAAGAAUCAGGUGCUGCUACAUCAUUCAAGGAAAUUCGUCGUAGAGGUCUUUCUCUUUACCAGAUUUCGUAGCUGAACUUUAAGAAGCAAUCAAACCGGUGUUAACUUCUUAUAUAAAGGUAGAUUCCCAAACUUUGAAGAAACGCUGCAGUACUGAGGUAAUUGAACGUUGUAAGGCAGAGCAUUGGGCUUACCGGAGCCAAGGUAUCUUCUUCGAUAACAAGUAAGGAUAGUCCUGAUACUACCUUUCUUUUGUUAUUGAAAUUUAUUGUUCCUUUUGUUGGGGGCUUGGUGGUUGUGCACCUAUAUUGAUUUGUACUUCUGUUAAUUAAUUAUAGUCAUUCUCUCUUGUCUGAGUAAUUAUUGUCAACCAUUUUGUUAACAAAGGCUUCCCAUGGAAAUUCAGUUUGUUGUGCUGCAUGUCCACGAUGAUUUUCGUGAUUUUAGUUUUAGAUGCAUAAAAAGGGCCUUUGCAUCACGACAUGAAUGGCUACUUUUUAAUAUGAACGUACAAUACCCCAAAUGAAUGCUGAAGUAAGUUUAUUGAUGUAUGUAAUUUACAACAAUCUUUUUGAACUUUUUGGUAGGUUAUGAAUUACGAACUUGUAUUGAAUAUUUGUUAGGUCGUUUUAAUAAUUCAAGUGA